UACAGAGGUCUCAAGCGUUGUUCGGAUUCAUUGGGCGUAAAGGGCGCGUAGGCUGCGGGGUAAGUCGGGUGUGAAAUCUCAGGGCUCAACCCUGAAACUGCACUCGAUACUGCUCUGCUUGAGGACUGGAGAGGAGACUGGAAUUCACGGUGUAGCAGUGAAAUGCGUAGAUAUCGUGAGGAAGACCAGUGGCGAAGGCGGGUCUCUGGACAGUUCCUGACGCUGAGGCACGAAGGUCAGGGGAGCAAACGGG
rnacentral:rRNA from 1 species